rnacentral:lncRNA from 1 species
CCUCUUUCAAUUACAAAAACAAGUGAAUAUAGAUGCAAUAAUUAAAUCUUCCAAAAAUGAUUCAAAUACAUAAAAAUAGAAUUAUAAUCUACAAACAAUCAUCAAUACACCAAAUCCAUCAAAACCCAAAAGGAACUACUCCAUAGACAUGGAGAAGUUCUUCACAAAUAUAACUAAAGUAUAGAAAAACAUAAAUUCAAUCCAAACCCGAAUCUUGAGUGAGGAAGGAAUGAUGAAAUCCUUAUGCUUGUGUUCUUCCCAAACCUCCUUUGCCUCCUUAGGUCGAAAAUCUGUCAAAAGUCCCCGAAAAUGGUAUUUUUCCGUGUAUUUAAGCCAUCCCUCAAUAAACCCCGGACAAAAUUAUCUUUUUUUAGCGGAAAUGGAAAGUUACUCUAAUAUUUUUGUGCUAUCUCGGCAUAAAUUGCAUUGUCGUGCCGCCCCAUGCAGCGCGGCUGUGCAGUUUCUUCGAGUAAGUUCGUUUCUCCAAUAUUUGACAUUCGGACUUCGUCCUCGACCCCCGAACGCGACCCCGAUUUAAUCACUUGGGCUUCUACUUAGACUUCAAUGCUCCAAAUAGCUCGAAUUAGCUCUACAACAUCUAAAUAACUUGGAAUCACUCCUACACGACAUAAAACACAUAAUAAGUGCAAAACACUACUAAUUAAAGUUCAACAUAAGUAAAGUGCAGUGAAUUAGAAUGCAAUGAGCGACUAAAGUGCAAUGAGCGACUAAAACACAGGGUUAUAAGCCUACCAUCAAGUAGUUGAAAUCAGAAAGCACAAAAUGGGGAUAUUAGUGUUGCUCACCAUUGUUGACUGAGAGAAGCAAAGCUUGAUCGUAAAGAUUGGUAAAACCUGGAAAGAGGAAAUCAAUGUGAACAUUUGACAGUAAGAAAUUUUGAUUAAACAAAUGAAUGUUUUAGUAGUUGCAAUGGGGCUUAACGUUACAGUCAAACAUUAAGAUUAAAUAUGUUUAUAAACCAGUAAAUUAACCCAGUCAUUCGAGUCAAAUUUUAAAGGUAAUGCAUGUAAUAGUUGUAAUCGUUAAAGACAAAUCACAAAACUAAAAUUCUCUAUAAUUGUAGGGAAAACAUAUUUAUUUUGAUUCUCGUCAAAGAAGUAAGGAACCAAAUUUGCAUUUCAGGACAAAUAUUUACUACUAUAAUUUAUUUGAGAACUUAGAUAGGACAAUUUACUUUUUUACAUCUAUAAAGUGGAGGUAAUAAUGUGGAAACAAAAAUAUACCAAGAGUUAAGGAAAACACAAACUGAUCCAAAGAGAAAUUCAACCUUGACGAAGAUGUCAUCUCUGCUCUGCUGCAUAAACUGCACCAAGGCAAGUAAACUGUGUAUAAAUCACCAGAUCGAAUAAAAAUAAAAACAAAAAGUUGUAAUUCAAAAGUGAUAUGUUUUUUCUUGUGGGUUUAUUUAAAAUCUUGUAGACGGGGAAAUUUCCAAAAAAAGAAGAAAAGAGAUAAAUAGUGCAUCCGUGAGCAUGGGGAAUGUUCCACAUCAGAUUUUAUUUUUUAGCUUUAUAAAUAUUUGUAUAUAAAUUAUUGACAAACUUUAAUUAAGCUCCACACACAUGCAAAGAUAAUGUGAACAUUACUGACUUUCCUUGUAUACCAAAAUUUCAUAGUCAACAACUAAAAUUCAAGGGAGGAAGAUAUUAUGUUUCCCGUAAGCAUCCAUGAUAAUUUGGUGAAAGCUCUACUUUCAUAAUCUCAAAUGACCGCAAUUGUCAUUAGGGAAUAAAAUGCCUCACCUGAAGGAUAACUCGAGAAGACGAAUACACUAACCUCGUGGCAAUUAAACAAUUUGUGUCGUGUUGUAUUGGUAGUACUCAAUUAUAAGGGAGAACCAUACAACUAAGCACAUUACCGGUCUAAACUCCAUAUUAGUAAAUUAUAAUCAAUAUUUAUAGACAUAAAAAUAAAUUCAAUGGUCAUCAGUCAUCACUAUUAAAUAAAAAAAUCUUUCCCAACUGUUAAUAAUGACUGAUUGCACUUAACUCCGCCUAUGUCGCCUCAUAUGUGCAUUUUUGUGAGCAUCUUCUUCUCUGGCUUUGUACUUUUCUUUUUCUCUUUUAUUUCUAGCACUAUUUCUGUGGUGUGGAUUUAGUAUUUUAACUACCUUGGCUCAUCUCUUCAUCGCUGCUACAACUGUUGGUGAGUCUUAAUCUUCAUUUUUUUUUUCAAUUUGGUAUUUACAUGGGUGUGGAUUGUAGGGUAGUUAGUUUUCUUCCUCCUUAAUUUUCUUCACCCAUCAAUAGAUUAUAUACACAUAAAUGAUAAAUCUUUAUCAAGUUGAGUUAAGAAGGCAUAAGAAAAUUGCUACUGAUUAGGGAUAAAUAACGACCAAUUUACAGUAGAGCAAUUAAGCAAUCAUUUAUGCCACAUAAAGUUGUGUUGUGAUUAUCUAUAUUACUUAACAUAUCAGAUAUUCUAGCCUUAAUAUUCAUUUGGAAAUGUUAUUGGUUCUCUUCAAAAUAAAAAAAUUCUCUUAGAUAUAAAACAUUCUACAUGGAUUUAGGUUUAAAUUUCUUAUAAAAUUUUAGAAGUUUCUUACUGCAAAUUUUCUUACAGAUUUCAAGUUAGUUCAAGUGCAUGUUCUUGAGAGGAAAAAACAUAAUAGAAUCUUUAUACUCUUGGUUAUCAAUUGUGCAGAAAACAUAAUAGUUAAGGAUCUUCGGGGCUCACCUCAAAUACAGAUGGAGAAGGUCAAAUUGAAUCUGUUCACGGCCUUUUGUUCGUUUGUACUACCAUCUAUCAACCUAAAAGAAAAAUAAAUCAUGCGCUCAACUGAAUUAUGAAACUUCAAGGGUCUAACAUUUAAAAUGCUGAAAAGAUAUGCAAAGAAGACAUAGUUGGUAAAGAUUAACUUUGAAAGGAUUAUAGACAUGCAAGUGUGAAUAAAUUUGCAGCAUUUCCUGAAUCCGUGGGUAAAGUCAACAAUGCGGCAUAUUUUUGAAUACUUCAUGGGCGUCAACAUAAGCAGUUGUUAUCCAAUUUUUCUGCGAUGGCGAAGGAGUAAGUUAAAGACGGAGCAGAAUCAAAAAUCAAAGCGCAAAUAACUAGAAAACGCAAAUUGGAAACUGUGAUGGGGAAAGAAUUUAGAGAUUAGCUAAGGAAUUAAAGUAAAUCAACAAAGAUGAAGCAAAAUCUGUGUAGAAGAGCAAACAGGGAGGAGAAAGAGUAUAGGGAUUUUCAACAAUGGUAAUGUGAUGAUCCGAUAGAUC